UCAUACUGUAAGGGUAUGUGACACACAUGAGAUAAGUGCUACCAAUUGAUUGGCUUUGGCGCUAAGUUUGCAGUAGUCGCUGACAAGCAGUCUUCAGUAUUUGACAAACAAAUGGAGAACAACACACAAAAUAUAUUGUCAGACACUGAAUAUAAAGAAUACCUCCAGGACAAGGCAGCCCAACAAGGUUUUGCUGUCACCGCUCAGUCUGAGCAAAUCAGAGGAAAAGCUCGAGGAAUCUCAGGAAAUUGCUAGAGAUGACACUAUCGUUGUCGAAAUACACACGUGAGCCUGCUUAGAGAUGAUUAGGUGGAUGACUAUGAAGAACUUCAUGUUAGAGGACACGGGAAUAGAAUGCUCUGAUAGGAUGUGACAUUGGGGUAUAGGUUUCUAUAUUAAUUGCAUGAAGUCUUGAAUGAUCUUGUUUUGAAUUGAGAUGAUUUAUUAUUUAUUUGGACAAGUUUUAUUAUGAUGUUAGAAAAGUGAAUAUGAGUCUUUUAUCCUUUUGAAAAACUUGUAUUUAAAUGUGUUUUAAAAACUUUUAAUUAAUUCUAAUUUCUUAUUCCUUUUAUUAUUAGUAUAUAUAUGUGAGGGAUAGAGGGCGUCACAGACAAUGCAAAAUAGUACUUUUCUUAAUCUUUUUGCAAUUUUAUGGCAUCUCAUGGAAUGAUUCAUUAGUCUUCUUUUUGCAAAAUGGUGUUGUCAAACGCAAGCAUCGACAUAUUAUUGACAUUGCACGAACCUUCCUAAUCCACUCAAAUGCACCUUUAAAAUUUUUGGAGAUGCAGUUUUUAUGGCCGGGUAUCUUAUUAAUAAAAUGCCCUCUUCUUCUGUUAGUAACAAAGGUCCUCACUUUAUUCUAUUUCCUUAUGAGCCUUUGUUUCAUAUUCUUCCUCAUGUUUUUGGCUCUACUUGUUUUGUGCAUGAUCUCAAUUCAGGUCUUGAUAAGUUGAAAGCUCGUGCUAUUAAGUGCAUUUUUCUUGGUUAUUCACGCACUCAGAAAGGUCAUUCAUGUUACUCUCUUACCAACAACUAUUUGUACAUGUUUGUUGAUGUCACCUUCUUCGAAGAUACACCAUUAUCUUUCAACUAGCCCAUCUCCUCUGAGUUUGUCUCUCAGGUAUUGCCUAUUCCCUCUGUCAUUCCUUACCAGAUAGUUUCUUCUCUUCCGUUGUCCUUGUUCUCAACCUGUGGAAGAACCCCUUAUUGAAGAGAAUAGUGCAUCAUCUCCUGCUCCAGUCAUUCACCCUGUUGCGGUCGACUUUGACUUACCAAUCGCGAUAGGAUGAACUUUCACAUUCAGGAUGGCGAUCGAGUGAUGAUUGAUGAAAUGCAAGCUCUAGAAUCUAAUCAGACAUGGGCUCUUGUCCCUCCACCUCCAGGGAAAUCUCUUGUUGGUUGCAACUGGGUCUUUACUAUUAAAGUUCGACCUGAUGGACAAAUCGAUCGGUUGAAGGCAUGCCUUGUAGCCAAAGGCUUCACUUAGAUAUUUGGACUUGACUACAAUGACACCUUCUCUUUGGUCGCCAAGAUAGCCUAUGUUCGUCUCUUACUGUUGAUGGUAGCUACGCGUCAAUGGCUCCUUUAUCAAUUGGACAUCAAGAAUGAUUUCCUACACGGAGAAUUAGUUGAGGAAGUCGCAACCUCCCAAGUUUGUUGCUCAAGGGGAGUCUAGUGGAUUUGUUUGCAAGUUACGAAAAGCCCUAUAUGGCCUCACACAAAGUCCGAGAGCAUGGUUUGGCAGAUUUGGUUCCGUCCUUCAGAGUUUUGGCAUGACUCAUGGUGAGUCCGAUCACAUAGUAUUUUAUAGACUUUCCUCCACUAACCAGUGCGUUUAUCUUGUGGUGUAUGUAGAUGAUAUUGUUAUUACAAGAGAUGACCACAGGGGUAUCCGAGACCUUAAAAGUCAUUUGUUUCAGCACUUUCAAACUAAAGACUUGGGUCAAUUAAAAUACUUUCUUGGGAUUGAAGUAGCCCAAUCAAAAACUGGUAUUGUCAUUUGCCAAAGGAAAUAUGCCCUCGACAUCCUAAAAGACACUGGGAUGCAAAAUUGUAAGCCGGUCGACACUCCCAUGGAUCCGAAUACCAAACCUAUACCAGAUAAGGGGUAGAGUCCUUCUCGGAUCCAGGAAGAUAUCGAAGACUAGUUGGGAAGCUGAAUUAUCUCACCAGACUAGACCUGAUAUAUCCUUUGCAGUCAGUGUUGUAAGUCAAUUCCUUAACUCUCCUUGCACAAGUCAUUGGAAUGCUGUAAUUGAGGUAUAUAAAAGGGUCUCUAGGAAAAGGGUUAGUUUAUGAAAAUAGAGGUCACACUGAUAUCGUUGCAUAUACAGAUGCUGAUUGGGCUGGAUCUACGAGUGAUCGCAUGUCAACCUCAGGAUAUUGUAUCCUAAUUGGUGGAAUCUCAUUUCUUGGAGGAGUAAGAAAUGAAAUACUGUGGCCAGGUAUAGUGCAGAGGCUUAAUAUCGAUCUAUGUCUGUUACUACGUGUGGGCUGGUUUGGUUGAAACAACUCCUUAGUGAACUCAAAUUCUGUAAAAUUGGGUCCAUGAAACUUAUCUGUGACAACCAAGCAACACUACAUAUAGCAUCUAAUCCAGUCUUCCAUGAAUGGACUACUCACAUUGAAAUUGACUGUCACUUUAUGAGGGAGAAGAUAGUGUCUAGAGAAGUCACCACUGCCUUUGUCAACUCUAAUGAUCAACUGUCAGAUAUUUUUACCAAGUCUCUUAGAGGGCCAGGGAUAUCCUACAUUUGUUCCAAGCUGGAUGCAUGUGACCUAUAUGCUCCAACAUGAGGGGGAGUGUUAAAGAUUUGAUUUCCAUAUAACUGCAUUUAUUAAUAAUUGAUCUGUAUUUGAUAUAUUACUGAUUAACAUUUAUUCUCUGAUUAUGUAAUCCCUGCAAUCAUGGGAUUUGAUUGCUCAUUGUAUUUAAUACUCAACAUUAUAAAUAAAGAGCCGAGGAACAAUUGUCCUCAUGCAUUCAAUUCAUACAUUGUGAAAUUUAAGU